rnacentral:rRNA from 1 species
UACGUAGGGUCCGAGCGUUAAUCGGAAUUACUGGGCGUAAAGCGUGCGCAGGCGGUUCGUUAAGUUCGUUGUGAAAGCCCCGGGCUCAACCUGGGAACUGCAAUGGAAACUGGCGGGCUUGAAUGCGGCAGAGGGGGGUGGAAUUCCGCGUGUAGCAGUGAAAUGCGUAGAGAUGCGGAGGAACACCGAUGGCGAAGGCAGCCCCCUGGGCCGACAUUGACGCUCAGGCACGAAAGCGUGGGGAGCGAACAGG